rnacentral:rRNA from 1 species
GACGAACCGUGCGAACGUUAUUCGGAAUCACUGGGCUUAAAGCGCGUGUAGGCGGGCCGGCCCGUCGGCCGCUGAAAUCCCCCGGCUCAACCGGGGAACGGGCGCCGAUACGACCGGCCUGGAGCGAGGUAGGGGGCGCCGGAACUCACGGUGGAGCGGUGAAAUGCGUUGAGAUCGUGAGGAACGCCCGUGGCGAAAGCGGGCGCCUGGACCUCCGCUGACGCUGAGACGCGAAAGCCAGGGGAGCGAACGGG